rnacentral:rRNA from 1 species
GACGAACGCUGGCGGCGUGCCUAAUACAUGCAAGUAGAACGGAGUUGCGAACGGGUGAGUAACGCGUAGGUAACUUCCUGGUGGCGGGGGGUAACUAUUGGAAACGAUAGUUAAUAACGCCUCCUAACAGAUGCACCUGCGUUGUAUUAGCGAGUUGGUGGGGUUAAGGCGCACCCAGGCAACGGUACAUAGCCGACCUGGGAGGGUGAACCGGCAAACUUGGACCGAGACAAGGCCCAGACGCCCACGGGAGGCAACAGUAGGGGAUCUUCGGAAAUGGACCGAAGUCUGACCGAGGAAAGCCGCGGUAUAGAAGAAGGUUUUCGGAGCGGAAAGCUCUGUUGUGAGAGGAGCGGUAUCUUACCAGAAAGGGACGGCUAACUACGUGCCAGCAGCCGCGGUAAUUC